rnacentral:lncRNA from 1 species
CUUGCACCAUGUUCCGGAACCGCAUCUAUAAUUCACCGACAUCGAUCCAGAUUACGCAGAGAAAAACAAGAAAGAGUGUCCUUUUGAAGGUGGAGACUUUAACGUGGCGCAAUUAGAUCAAACGACACCUUUGGUGUUUGAUAACCAAUACUACAAGAACUUGAUGGAGAGGCGCGUUUUGCUCGAUUCCGAUCAGGUACUCUUCAGCAACGACACCCAGGAUGAUCUUGUCACCACAUACAGUAAGGAUCAAGAUGCAUUCUUUAAGGAUUUUGCCCAAGCCAUGGUCAAGCUGUCUAAUUUGAGUCCUUUGACUGGCGAUCAAGGAGAGAUCAGGACCAACUGCAGAUCGUCAAACUCGGAACCUGAACAACCAUUAACGGAUUAACCGAUCCCAGCAUAUUUCGAUGUAUAAAAUAAAUGUAACCAAGUUAGAUGUAUUUGUAUUAUUACGACUACUAUCUAUUCUCCAUUCGAACAUCACAAUUAUAAUAUAUAACAUGCUCAUUAAUUUUUGUGAGAACAGA